rnacentral:lncRNA from 1 species
UUCAUUUCCAUCUCCAAAUCCUUUUCUUUUUCUUUUUAAUUUUUGCAUCCAGCAAGUGCUACGUUUUGCCACUGCUCCAAAUCCUUGGAUUUGUGUGAGUGUGAUAAGUAAAGUUUUGUCUUGUUUAAUUAUUAUUUCCUUUAAAAUAUUACAAAUUUACUAUAUAUUUGAUAUUUUGAAAUUUUACAAUGAUUAUUAUCAAUAUUGCAGUAUGUUAGAUUGUUAAUAACAUUUUAUUUACUUUUUGGUGUAGGAUUUUUGUUUUCAAGGUGAAAAAGACAAAUGAAGAGAAUUAAAGAAAUUACCUUACUUUAUAAUUUGAAUUUGAAUUAUUAUUAUUUGUAUUAUUAGGGAUUUAUAAUUUGGUAUUUAGAUGACUGCAUAAUAUGGUUUGAGUUAUUUGUAUUUUGUUGUGGGAUGUUAAACUUGUG